rnacentral:rRNA from 1 species
CCUACGGGGGGCAGCAGUGAGGAAUAUUGGUCAAUGGGCGAGAGCCUGAACCAGCCAAGUCGCGUGAGGGAAGACGGUCCUAUGGAUUGUAAACCUCUUUUGUCGGGGAGCAAAAAGGCCUCGUGAGGCCACAAGUGAGAGUACCCGAAGAAAAAGCAUCGGCUAACUCCGUGCCAGCAGCCGCGGUAAUACGGAGGAUGCGAGCGGUAUUCGGAUUUAUUGGGUUUAAAGGGUGCGUAGGCGGACUGGAAAGUCAGCGGUAAAAUCGAGAGGCUCAACCUCUUUCCGCCGUUGAAACUGUCGGUCUUGAGUGGGCGAGAAGUAUGCGGAAUUCCUAGUGUAGCGGUGGAAUGCGUAGAUAUUAGGAGGAACAUCAGGGGCGAAGGCGACUUACUGGACUGUAACUGACACUGAGGCACGAAAGCGUGGGGAGCAAACAGGAUUAGAUACCCUAGUAGUC